GGCAGUGCGGGCGGCCUAACACAUGCAAGUCGAGCGGAUGACGGGAGCUUGCUCCUUGAUUCAGCGGCGGACGGGUGAGUAAUGCCUAGGAAUCUGCCUGGUAGUGGGGGACAACGUUUCGAAAGGAACGCUAAUACCGCAUACGUCCUACGGGAGAAAGCAGGGGACCUUCGGGCCUUGCGCUAUCAGAUGAGCCUAGGUCGGAUUAGCUAGUUGGUGGGGUAAUGGCUCACCAAGGCGACGAUCCGUAACUGGUCUGAGAGGAUGAUCAGUCACACUGGAACUGAGACACGGUCCAGACUCCUACGGGAGGCAGCAGUGGGGAAUAUUGGACAAUGGGCGAAAGCCUGAUCCAGCCAUGCCGCGUGUGUGAAGAAGGUCUUCGGAUUGUAAAGCACUUUAAGUUGGGAGGAAGGGCAGUAAGUUAAUACCUUGCUGUUUUGACGUUACCGACAGAAUAAGCACCGGCUAACUCUGUGCCAGCAGCCGCGGUAAUACAGAGGGUGCAAGCGUUAAUCGGAAUUACUGGGCGUAAAGCGCGCGUAGGUGGUUUGUUAAGUUGGAUGUGAAAGCCCCGGGCUCAACCUGGGAACUGCAUCCAAAACUGGCAAGCUAGAGUACGGUAGAGGGUGGUGGAAUUUCCUGUGUAGCGGUGAAAUGCGUAGAUAUAGGAAGGAACACCAGUGGCGAAGGCGACCACCUGGACUGAUACUGACACUGAGGUGCGAAAGCGUGGGGAGCAAACAGGAUUAAAUACCCUGGUAGUCCACGCCGUAAACGAUGUCAACUAACCGUUGGAAUCCUUGAGAUUUUAGUGGCGCCGCUAACGCAUUAAUUUGACCGCCUGGGGAGAACGGCCGGCA
rnacentral:rRNA from 1 species